AUGGAAAACAGGCCUUCAGCCACUGGGAGAACCUAUGGCAUUAAUGGCAGGCCGUGUCACGUGCACUAUGUUUACUACGCCGCUAGGGUAAUAUUUUAUGUUAAUAACGGUGCCGGAGAUGCGGCAACUUGUGCUUACCAUUUGAUUAUACUAUCACUAAUAUGGACUCUGCAACGCUUCUACAGCGAACCAGCAUCAACAGCACCGCCAAAAGAGAAUUGAAUAUUCGAAAACAAUUGCGUUUGCUAACCACCUGCACGGCGAUUCGGAGCCCAAAAUAUGAAAAGAAAAACGGGCACAGUCGAUGAGAUGUUUUUGUUGGGUGUUCCUUCAGGAAAACGUCCUAUUGACUUCCGGCUGCCAGGUGGGAUGCAAUGCCAGAAAACAAGCUUUUCAUUGUGACCGCGUAAUUAUUUAGUCAUACUAAAAACGAGUGCCAUAUUGCGGAAGAGGUAUGUAGCUACUGUAUGCUUGGCUAUGCUCUACAUUUCUGCUGGCAAGGACAACCUGCGCGAGUUACGCGCACUCAGCCCCACUAACGCGAAGAGCGAUAAGUCACCGUACAAGCGGUAAGUCACCGUAAGUGCAUUGAAUUACUGUGUUUAUCCUAUGGGAUUUGUUACACUUCAGCUUCCUGUCAUGAAUUUUUCAAACUCACUGUAACAUUUAAUAGAAUAGGUGAAAUAAACAGGAUUGAGUUCCAUUUGCUGGAGUAAGACCUUGGCUGAAGCCUGACUGUACACUUUGUGUCUUGCAUUAGACUGCGAAAUAUAUGCUCGUAUCUCGUAGCCCAAUGCAGGAUACAAACUGUCAGUAAUUAAGACGACUGUCACUAAAUUUGAGAAACUACUGUGUUUCACACUAUCGAAAAUAAGCUUUGAUCUUUUUUUUCAAAAAUGGUCGGGUGAUUCUGAUUAAUUAACUGAAUCGACUGAGAUAGAUAGAAUACACUUCAAUGCGGUUCACUUUCUUCUGUGCCCUUUUCACCAAGCAGCCGAUUAGGAUACGAGUACAGUAACGGGCGAGCUUCAUUUUGGUGACCCUGGUCCUUGCUUCACACUAUCGAUGGCACCCUCUUCCAAACGUCGUGAUUAAAGCAUUUAUGUUUUCACUUGAACGAUUGUCAGGUAAGGACUGUAUCCAUUAUCUUCUCCUGUAUACGGCUAUAUGCGCGUGCUUUGUGCGCAAGUUUAUCAUCAAUCAUGUCCUCAACUGAGUCAAAUGCAAUCAACGUUGUUGAGAUGACAAUAAAUGAUAUGUUCUUGCAGGAGUCUUAGUUGCUACAAUGUUAGUUUAUUCUGUUAGAUUAUUAGCAUAUACAAACAUCGCAAAUAGCACAGGUUGCGCAGGCAUCACCACCGCAAAAACUCCUGCCCUUAUUGGGAAAAAAAGUAACGGUCAAAUAUAAUCCAUAUUCCAUAUUCAUAAAAUUUUGCAUGUCGCUUUCACCGUUUAUAGCACAUUAGGGAUUUGGCUUCGCUUUUCACGACUUCAGCGGUUGAGCUGUAUUUCCCACUAGAACAGGCGGGCCACCCAUUCCCGCUGGUUGCCCCGUCACAAAGUGGAUCGGCUGGCCAGGAGCACCUUGAGGAUAACCGUACCCAGGCUGCACAUAUACGACUUGCAUGGCAGUUGCCUUCUUGGGCAUUUUACAUAUAUUGAUCCCGGCGGCAAUUGACUGACCCAAACAGAAAAUCCACAUAAGACCCUGGAACGCCAGAUGGGGGCCCAUAAUAGCCGGAAUGUGGAGCAGGUAGAAAUUGCACAUGUACGUAUUAGGGCUGUUGUAUCCAUACCCGCAAUAGCGAUAACGGGUAAAGUCAAGGUGGCUGGCGAGGAGAACGGCAAGGGCAGUUAUCAGACCGGUGGCCAAGAGUGUGGAUAGAAUGCUCAGCACCAUGGAGGUGAUAAGAAAACAUAGACGCGAGCGUGGUGAAGCUCCCAUCGUUAGACGUCGUCCGCCUGCAAUACCAAAUGAUCCUGUUAUGAUGAAAAAUGCUCCGGUAUAGAACCCGGAACCAGCAGCACUGAAGGAUAAGGCGUCAUUGAUCCAGUUGAUGCUAAAAUCUGUAAUGGAUUUUUCGAAUACCAAAAAUCAGGACCGAUCUGGGACUGUGCAGACCGACUGAUGUCGGCUGAGGAGGAAAAACACCGGUAUGAGUGGCCAUUUUUUCUAUUCUGCGUCAGAUUAUUCUUUAUGUGAGGUACACAAUAAAAUUCAGAACGUGGACGUUCUACUGAGUAAUUAGUUCUAGCUACGUU